CAUCUUUCAUCCUCAUUCUGGCCGAGAGCUUUAGAGAAGAAUGAAGAUUCUAAAUCUUACAGUUAAAAGGACAAGCCACCACGGCGUCUGCAGAGAGACGGAUGAGACGUGGCAUAUCAUUAGGUUUAGCUGGGCUCUGAGUCUCUGGGGGUGUCUGAGAGUCGUUCCUCACGGUUGGAGAAGCUCUGCUACACCUUCCUCCUCCAGCGCGGUGUUCUCCGGCAGCGCGGCUCCCUCAGCGGGAGGGAGUUUUACAGCCCCGGAGAGAGAGGCGGGCUCUCUACAGCCCCGUGCACAACUUCAACCACCCCUGAUCAAAUUACAGAUGAUUUUCUAACUGAAAAAAAAAGUUUUAAUUGGACAAACUGUAGUAAAAAAAAAGCUUGUGUUCAUUGUUACUUUUCUCAAUAAGUUGUAUGCAUUCUUUCACAUUAAAUAAGCAGGCACCUUG